rnacentral:rRNA from 1 species
GCGAAAACUUUACAAUGCUGGCAACAGCGAUAAGGGAACCUCGAGUGCCAGGUUACAAAUCUGGCUGUCGAGAUGCCUAAAAAGCAUUUCAUAGCAAGGGCCGGGCAAGACCGGUGCCAGCCGCCGCGGUAACACCGGCGGCUCGAGUGGUAACCGUUAUUAUUGGGUCUAAGGGUCUGUAGCCGGCCGGAUAAGUCUCUUGGGAAAUCUGGCAGCUCAACUGUCAGGCUUUCAGGAGAUACUGUCUGGCUCGAGGCCGGGAGAGGUGAGAGGUACUUCAGGGGUAGGGGUGAAAUCUUGUAAUCCUUGAAGGACCACCAGUGGCGAAGGCGUCUCACCAGAACGGACCUGACGGCAAGGGACGAAAGCGUGGGGAUCAAACA